UGGUCCUUUUAAGCCAAAGGCCACCUAGCCAACUGACGUUGUUAGUGAAUGUUUAUUGUUCACAGUUAUAGAUGCCAAUUGCUUUUUUUGCAAUUGGCUUUUUUCUG
rnacentral:sRNA from 1 species